UACGAAGGGGGCUAGCGUUGCUCGGAAUUACUGGGCGUAAAGGGCGCGUAGGCGGAUGUUUAAGUCAGAGGUGAAAGCCCAGGGCUCAACCUUGGAACUGCCUCUGAUACUGGGCAUCUUGAGUACGGGAGAGGUGAGUGGAACUCCGAGUGUAGAGGUGAAAUUCGUAGAUAUUCGGAAGAACACCAGUGGCGAAGGCGACUCACUGGCCCGUUACUGACGCUGAGGCGCGAAAGCGUGGGGAGCAAACAGG
rnacentral:rRNA from 1 species